rnacentral:rRNA from 1 species
GAGCUGGGUUUAGAACGUCGUGAGACAGUUCGGUCCCUAUCUGCCGUGGGUGUAGGAUACUUGAGAGGAGUUGCCCCUAGUACGAGAGGACCGGGGUGAACGUUCCACUGGUGGACCAGUUGUCGUGCCAACGGCAGUGCUGGGUAGCUAUGAACGGACAGGAUAACCGCUGAAGGCAUCUAAGCGGGAAGCCCCCCUCAAAACAAGGUAUCCCUGAGGACCGUGGUAGACCACCACGUCGAUAGGCCGGAGAUGUAAGCGCAGCAAUGCGUUCAGUUGACCGGUACUAAUUGUCCGAUAGGCUUGAU